GGCUCCAUGGCCGAGCUGGUCAAGGCACGUGUCUCAUAAACAGGAGAUCCAGGGUUUGAUUCCCAUUGGGGCCU